AAUAAAUACAGCCAUGAGUUUCCGCGUCCAACUUUGAUCGUCCGUUUUAUUAGAAAUUUUUUUAUAAUUAGCAUUUUUGUUGUUACGAGAUGAUAAAACAUGAAUAGUACUUUACUCGUGACAUAUGUUUUGAAUUUUUUUCAAAAAAAAUUCAAAUAAGACGAACGGUUAAAGUUGGGCGUGGAAAACCAUAGCUACACUUAUU
rfam:Oryza glumipatula chromosome 4, whole genome shotgun sequence.